rnacentral:rRNA from 1 species
UACGGGGGGAGCAAGCGUUGUUCGGAUUUACUGGGCGUAAAGGGCGCGUAGGCGGUCAGCACAAGUCAGUUGUGAAAUCUCCGGGCUUAACUCGGAAAGGUCAACUGAUACUGUGCGACUAGAGUGCAGAAGGGGCAACUGGAAUUCUCGGUGUAGCGGUGAAAUGCGUAGAUAUCGAGAGGAACACCUGCGGCGAAGGCGGGUUGCUGGGCUGACACUGACGCUGAUGCGCGAAAGCCAGGGGAGCGAACGGGAUUAGA